CCGCUAGUGGAAGAAGAUGGCGGAAGGCGGAGCGGCGGAUCUGGACACCCAGCGGUCUGACAUCGCGACGCUGCUCAAAACCUCGCUCCGGAAAGGGGACACCUGGUACCUAGUCGAUAGUCGCUGGUUCAAACAGUGGAAAAAAUAUGUUGGCUUUGACAGUUGGGACAAAUACCAGAUGGGAGAUCAAAAUGUGUAUCCUGGACCCAUUGAUAACUCUGGACUUCUCAAAGAUGGUGAUGCCCAGUCACUUAAGGAACAUCUUAUUGAUGAAUUGGAUUACAUACUGUUGCCAACUGAAGGUUGGAAUAAACUUGUCAGCUGGUACACAUUGAUGGAAGGUCAAGAGCCAAUAGCACGAAAGGUGGUUGAACAGGGUAUGUUUGUAAAGCACUGCAAAGUAGAAGUAUAUCUCACAGAAUUGAAGCUAUGUGAAAAUGGAAACAUGAAUAAUGUUGUAACUCGAAGAUUUAGCAAAGCUGACACAAUAGGUAAUUCAAGAUCCUGUCUUGUUUUUAAACCAUUGCUAUUAGAUAUUUAAUUAGAAUUAUCUUUGUAUAUGCUACUUGGAUGAUAACCAUUUUAGGGAUUUAUAUAUAGACAUUUGAUUUCCAGCUUUGAUACAAUGUCUUAGAGUUAAAUUAUUUA
rnacentral:sRNA from 1 species